CCCUACCUACGGGGCGCAGCAGUGGGGAAUAUUGCACAAUGGGGGAAACCCUGAUGCAGCAACGCCGCGUGAAGGAAGACGGUUUUCGGAUUGUAAACUUCUUUUCUUAGUGAAGAAGCAAGUGACGGUAGCUAAGGAAUAAGCAUCGGCUAACUACGUGCCAGCAGCCGCGGUAAUACGUAGGAUGCGAGCGUUAUCCGGAAUUAAUGGGUGUAAAGGGAGCGCAGGCGGGACUGCAAGUUGGAUGUGAAAUACCGCAGCUUAACUGCGGGGCUGCAUUCAAAACUGUAGUUGUUG
rnacentral:rRNA from 1 species